rnacentral:rRNA from 1 species
GACGAACGCUGGCGGCGUGCCUAAUACAUGCAAGUCGAACGAAACUUUCUUACACCGAAUGCUUGCAUUCACCGUAAGAAGUUGAGUGGCGGACGGGUGAGUAACACGUGGGUAACCUGCCUAAAAGAAGGGGAUAACACUUGGAAACAGGUGCUAAUACCGUAUAUCUCUAAGGAUCGCAUGAUCCUUAGAUGAAAGAUGGUUCUGCUAGCGCUUUUAGAUGGACCCGCGGCGUAUUAACUAGUUGGUGGGGUAAUGGCCUACCAAGGUGAUGAUACGUAGCCGAACUGAGAGGUUGAUCGGCCACAUUGGGACUGAGACACGGCCCAAACUCCUACGGGAGGCAGCAGUAGGGAAUCUUCCACAAUGGACGCAAGUCUGAUGGAGCAACGCCGCGUGAGUGAAGAAGGUCUUCGGAUCGUAAAACUCUGUUGUUAGAGAAGAACACGAGUGAGAGUAACUGUUCAUUCGAUGACGGUAUCUAACCAGCAAGUCACGGCUAACUACGUGCCAGCAGCCGCCGUAAAAC